GAUGAACGCUGGCGGCGUGCUUAACACAUGCAAGUCGAACGGAAAGGCUCCUGCUUGCAGGGGUACUCGAGUGGCGAACGGGUGAGUAACACGUGGGUGAUCUGCCCUGCACUUCGGGAUAAGCCUGGGAAACUGGGUCUAAUACCGGAUAGGACGAUGGUUUGGAUGCCAUUGUGGAAAGUUUUUCGGUGUGGGAUGAGCUCGCGGCCUAUCAGCUUGUUGGUGGGGUAAUGGCCUACCAAGGCGUCGACGGGUAGCCGGCCUGAGAGGGUGUACGGCCACAUUGGGACUGAGAGACGGACCAGAAUCCUACGGGAGGCAGCAGUGGGGAAUAUUGCACAAUGGGCGCAAGCCUGAUGCAGCGACGCCGCGUGGGGGAUGACGGCCUUCGGGUUGUAAACUUCUUUCGCUAGGGACGAAGCGCAAGUGACGGUACCUGGAGAAGAAGCACCGGCUAACUACGUG
rnacentral:rRNA from 1 species